rnacentral:rRNA from 1 species
AGUGAACGCUGGCGGUAGGCCUAACGCAUGCAAGUCGAACGGCAGCACAGUAAGAGCUUGCUCUUACGGGUGGCGAGUGGCGGACGGGUGAGGAAUACAUCGGAAUCUACUUUUUCGUGGGGGAUAACGUAGGGAAACUUACGCUAAUACCGCAUACGACCUACGGGUGAAAGCAGGGGAUCUUCGGACCUUGCGCGAUUGAAUGAGCCGAUGUCGGAUUAGCUAGUUGGCGGGGUAAAGGCCCACCAAGGCGACGAUCCGUAGCUGGUCUGAGAGGAUGAUCAGCCACACUGGAACUGAGACACGGUCCAGACUCCGACGGGAGGCAGCAGUGGGGAAUAUUGGACAAUGGGCGCAAGCCUGAUCCAGCCAUACCGCGUGGGUGAAGAAGGCCUUCGGGUUGUAAAGCCCUUUUGUUGGGAAAGAAAAGCAGCAGGUUAAUACCCCGCUGUUCUGACGGUACCCAAAGAAUAAGCACCGGCUAACUUCGUG